CAGGAAACUGUUCCACAGUAGUAGUCUCAGGUCAUAUUAUUCGCUGAAAAGAUAGAUAUGUUGCCAGUGCAAUGAAAAGCUACAGCUGGAUUAACAAAUGGAACCAUGAUUGUAACUCGCUUUUUAUGUUUGUUUAAUGUCUUGCAUCUUUCUAAAAAUAGAUUCUAUGAACAAAGGUAGAUAAUAACAAAAACACAUACAUUUCUCAUUGGAUUGAUAGAUGUUAGCCCCACAUUUAUUACUAAUAUUCUCAGCAGCCAAUGCAGAAAGGGAAAUGAAAUCUACAGUGUUUACAGGAAAAAAUAUAUAAUCUUUUCUUAAGCAAAAUAUCCCUGUCAGUGGAUAUUUCUCCCACAAUCCUUAUAAUUGGAUCAUUCAAUAAACACAAGUUGAAAUCUGAAAAUGUAAAUUAUGUACCCAUAUGUUUCCCACAGUUCAUGAAGUUUCAAAGUAAAUUUCAGUUCCAUUAUUCCUAUUGGCAUUUUGGGCUUUGUAUUUUCUUCUCCAUCAAUUAUGACACUAUUUGGCAAGGUAUGUCUAUUCUCAGUUUCAGUCCAAACAAGGGCACAGCCUUUCUCUGUUAUUUUGAUGUCACAGCCCAGGCACCAAAUCAGUACCUGGUACAUAGUCAAUUCAUUAACAUUUGUUGAAUGAACAAGUGAAAUUUGUAACUUAGAGCAAUAAUAUAAUCUAUCUAAAUAACCUAUCUCCAUUUGUUACCUUGACCCAAAUAUAUCUACAUCUGAGGAUUAUUUCUUUCCAGAAGUCUUUCAAUCUUUUCCAAUUUUUAUAUAACUAGAAAUAGUGGUAUCUUCUAGAUUUCUAUUACUCAUAACAAGGAAAUAAUUUUCAGUGUUUUAUAGUUCCUUAUCUUUCAACAUGCUGCAAAAUGUCAGGCCCCUGCAUUGUCAGAUUUUAGGCUUCAGGGUUCUAGGACCAAAAGAAGGUAUAGGUAAAUAAAUGAAACGAAUUCAAAUCUAUGUUAUCUUAAAAAGUACUCAACAUAUAGACUAUGUUUAUAACAAUAUAUUGCAAAAAAAUUUAAACAAUUUUAAACCAAUAACUAUAAUAUAGAUUCUAGACAAUUUAUUAACAACUUCAGUCUUGCCGAAUAUAUUAUUAAGAGUUCAGCAAUCUGGAAGUUGCUCUACAUUCACAGCUUCUGAAAUGUAGAGAUUACAAAUUUCCAGUGCUAGAAUUACCUUGAGAUUUAACCCUGUGUCCAGUCAGUUAAAUAUUAAAAUACCUAAAUUGUCUUCUCUCCUAUCAGAAAAGCUGUAAGAUUCUACUCUGCUCAAACAGGGCUUUCCCACUCAAAUUCUAGAGUUAAAAAAAAAUUUCUUUAAAUUUCAAGAGCAAAUAAAGAAAUAGGGUUGCAAUUGAGUUUAUACUGUCUAGUCAUCUGUAAUGUUUCUUAACCCCUUCAACAAUCCCAUUUAAAACCUUAAAAAUCUGUACUACAGUGAAAAUCUUCUACCUAAAUCUGACCCUUAUCCUUUCUCUCUUAUUCCAAUUGAUUAAACUCAGUUCAACCCAGCUGAGGAAUAUCAAUUAUUAAGAGGUGAUAGGUUGGGAAUUUACCAGAGUGUCUCUCACUGGUCACAGUAUUGCUUCCACAGUGACCCUGCCUAAACAUUCUUUAGUGUUCUUGUCUCAAAAACUCAUUUCCAGUUAAGGUUAAAAGAAAUAAUUCUCAUACUCUAGCUCCAGAUUUCUUAUCUGGAUAGCUUUAUUGAACUUAUUUAAUUUAUCAAAAGAACAAAAACCAAACCAAUAAAACUCUCUAGUGGCCAGCUGGCAGCCAUAAAUUUCAAAUAGCAGCUCAAAUGGCUACAAUUUAAUACAUUUUAUGAUUCAUCAUUCAACUGUCCUUACUCACUGUAUUGCAUUUUGUAAAAUUCUGUGUAUGCUUCCUAGACAUACAUUAGAGUAAUUAUAAAUGAAUUAAAUAUUAUUAAUCCUAGACUGUAACUGGCUACUAUCUGAUGCUGCUUAGUGACUUAAUUAUGUUAGACAGACUAAAUUGUUUCAUAUGAACCUUCACAAAGGUCCUUAAUAAAAUAAAACAGUGAUUUUAUUUUGUGUUAUCUACUUUCUGCCAGAAGGUUCUCUAGGGGCUCCUGCGGUUCUCUUUUCUUCCCUAUUAGCUAGAAAGCACAAUCUAGUAAGCCUGUGAACCUUGCAGGAGCUUACACUGAAAAUAUUUCUCACUCUUUGACAAGCACUGUGGUAAGAUUUGGGGCUGCUGUGUAAGCAGCAAGAUUUAGUGGUUUUCUCUUAAGGGAGCUGGUUCCUGAAGUGACUUAGAGUGCCUUAGGAAAGAAAGGAAGGAAGAAGAACUUUCAUAUUGAUAGUGUAUGGAAGGGAUAACUUUAUAUAAAUUUUGAGUAGAGUGGAUAUUUUAGCAGAUAGAGAGGAAAUUUCCAAAGGAGAAUUUAAAGUGUCAGCAGAUUCAGAGAGGAACUGCCUCUGACAGCAGGCUGUAAAAGAUUAAAUUUUAAAAUAAAGGGUUACAUUGUCUCUUUAGCUUGCUUUGUGCAAUACCAGAGGUUCACGAAUGAGGGCAGACAAUUCGUCUAUUAUUUCUAAGAUAGAGCAUAUCAGCUAUGAUUUCACUCAGAAGGAGGCCCCUCACCUGUGAGAGGUGCGAGGAGAGGUUGGAUGUGCACAAAGUAUUUCUCAUUCCCACAGCAGUUUUGACAGGCAGGUCAGACACGUGAAAAAAGGAUAAUGGGAUAAUAAAGUUACUACGCUUCUGAGCAAGAUGUGCAGUGUAGCAGCCAAAGUGUGGGUCUUUGUGGGAAAGUUGCAGACAAAAGUGCUUCUCUGUGGGAAAGAACUGCUUGGGACCUGUGGAAGCUUUCUAGACUAGUCGUUACUAUUCUUAGUCUUCCCUCAGUGUGAAACCUAUGCUCAGCAGAGCCAGGAUGUGGUAAAAUUAUUUAUUUCUCCUUCCCUUGCACAUUCCCUACAAGAAAACACAUGCACACCAAUGACAUAAACUCUCAUAAGCGCUUCUGUUUUUGAUAUUCCUUAUUUAUGGAAUAUUAAACCACACUGGGAUUUUCCAGAUGUCUUAGACCUUUUGUUUCUGAGUAUCCUGCCCUGUGUGUAAAGCACAAAGAGGCUGACUACAAAGACUGGAAAUAAGAAUAAGAACUUCAUUUAUUGUCAUUGAAAUAUUCUACCAUUGUGAUGCAUACCUUAGCUUCCAGCGGGUAGAUCUCUAUCAAGAACAUAGCUCUAGUUCUAUUUUGAGCUUUAAAAUUUUUAGUCAACAUUGACAAAUAUAAAAAAAAAGAAUAUUAAAUCUAAAGAAGCAUAUAAAUAUUAGCCAAAUAAGUAGCUUCAGUGAAAGCCCAAAUUUUUGGAUGUUUUACUAG
rnacentral:lncRNA from 1 species